GAUGAACGCUAGCGGCAGGCUUAAUACAUGCAAGUCGAGGGGCAGCACGACUGUAGCAAUACAGUUGAUGGCGACCGGCAAACGGGUGCGGAACACGUACUGAACCUUCCUUUAAGUAGGGAAUAGCCCAGAGAAAUUUGGAUUAAUACCCCGUAACAUAUAGAAGUGGCAUCGCUUUUAUAUUAUAGCUCCGGCGCUUAAAGAUGGCAGUGCGGCUGAUUAGGUAGUUGGCGGGGUAACGGCCCACCAAGCCGACGAUCAGUAACUGGUGUGAGAGCACGACCAGUCACACGGGCACUGAGACACGGGCCCGACUCCUACGGGAGGCAGCAGUAAGGAAUAUUGGUCAAUGGACGCAAGUCUGAACCAGCCAUGCCGCGUGGAGGAUGAAGGUCCUCUGGAUUGUAAACUUCUUUUAUCUGGGAAGAAAUUCCCGCAUUCUUGCGGGAUUGACGGUACCAGAUGAAUAAGCACCGGCUAACUCCGUGCCAGCCGCCGCAGUAAAAC
rnacentral:rRNA from 1 species